rnacentral:rRNA from 1 species
GCAGUCGAGCGGUAGGCCCUUCGGGGUACACGAGCGGCGAACGGGUGAGUAACACGUGGGUGAUCUGCCUCGCACUCUGGGAUAAGCCUGGGAAACUGGGUCUAAUACCGGAUAUGACCACGGAUCGCAUGGUUUGUGGUGGAAAGAUUUAUCGGUGCGAGAUGGGCCCGCGGCCUAUCAGCUUGUUGGUGGGGUAAUGGCCUACCAAGGCGACGACGGGUAGCCGACCUGAGAGGGUGACCGGCCACACUGGGACUGAGACACGGCCCAGACUCCUACGGGAGGCAGCAGUGGGGAAUAUUGCACAAUGGGCGAAAGCCUGAUGCAGCGACGCCGCGUGAGGGAUGACGGCCUUCGGGUUGUAAACCUCUUUCGACAGGGACGAAGCGCAAGUGACGGUACCUGUAGAAGAAGCACCGGCCAACUACGUGCCAGCAGCCGCGGUAAUACGUAGGGUGCGAGCGUUGUCCGGAAUUACUGGGCGUAAAGAGCUUGUAGGCGGUUCGUCGCGUCGAUUGUGAAAACUUGCAGCUCAACUGCAAGCUUGCAGUCGAUACGGGCGGACUAGAGUACUUCAGGGGAGACUGGAAUUCCUGGUGUAGCGGUGAAAUGCGCAGAUAUCAGGAGGAACACCGGUGGCGAAGGCGGGUCUCUGGGAAGUAACUGACGCUGAGAAGCGAAAGCGUGGGUAGCGAACAGGAUUAGAUACCCUGGUAGUCCACGCCGUAAACGGUGGGUACUAGGUGUGGGUUUCCUUCCACGGGAUCCGUGCCGUAGCUAACGCAUUAAGUACCCCGCCUGGGGAGUACGGCCGCAAGGCUAAAACUCACAGGAAUUGACGGGGGCCCGCACAAGCGGCGGAGCAUGUGGAUUAAUUCGAUGCAACGCGAAGAACCUUACCUGGGUUUGACAUACACCAGAAAGCCGUAUAGAUACGGCCCCCCUUGUGGUUGGUGUACAGGUGGUGCAUGGCUGUCGUCAGCUCGUGUCGUGAGAUGUUGGGUUAAGUCCCGCAACGAGCGCAACCCUUAUCUUAUGUUGCCAGCGCGUAAUGGCGGGGACUCGUGAGAGACUGCCGGGGUCAACUCGGAGGAAGGUGGGGACGACGUCAAGUCAUCAUGCCCCUUAUGUCCAGGGCUUCACACAUGCUACAAUGGCCGGUACAGAGGGCUGCGAUACCGUGAGGUGGAGCGAAUCCCUUAAAGCCGGUCUCAGUUCGGAUCGGGGUCUGCAACUCGACCCCGUGAAGUUGGAGUCGCUAGUAAUCGCAGAUCAGCAACGCUGCGGUGAAUACGUUCCCGGGCCUUGUACACACCGCCCGUCACGUCAUGAAAGUCGGUAACACCCGAAGCCGGUGGCCUAACCC